UACGUAGGGUCCGAGCGUUGUCCGGAAUUAUUGGGCGUAAAGGGCUCGUAGGCGGUUUGUUGCGUCGGGAGUGAAAACUUACAGCUUAACUGUGAGCGUGCUUCCGAUACGGGCAGACUUGAGGUAUUCAGGGGGAGAACGGAAUUCCUGGUGUAGCGGUGAAAUGCGCAGAUAUCAGGAGGAACACCGGUGGCGAAGGCGGUUCUCUGGGAAUAUCCUGACGCUGAGGAGCGAAAGUGUGGGGAGCGAACAGG
rnacentral:rRNA from 1 species